AGUGAACGCUGGCGGUAGGCCUAACACAUGCAAGUCGAACGGCAGCACAGUAAGAGCUUGCUCUUACGGGUGGCGAGUGGCGGACGGGUGAGGAAUACAUCGGAAUCUACUUUUUCGUGGGGGAUAACGUAGGGAAACUUACGCUAAUACCGCAUACGACCUACGGGUGAAAGCUGGGGAUCUUCGGACCUUGCGCGAUUGAAUGAGCCGAUGUCGGAUUAGCUAGUUGGCGGGGUAAAGGCCCACCAAGGCUACGAUCCGUAGCUGGUCUGAGAGGAUGAUCAGCCACACUGGAACUGAGACACGGUCCAGACUCCUACGGGAGGCAGCAGUGGGGAAUAUUGGACAAUGGGCGCAAGCCUGAUCCAGCCAUACCGCGUGGGUGAAGAAGGCCUUCGGGUUGUAAAGCCCUUUUGUUGGGAAAGAAAAGCAGCAGGUUAAUACCCCGCUGUUCUGACGGUACCCAAAGAAUAAGCACCGGCUAACCUCGUG
rnacentral:rRNA from 1 species